GUUCAUUAAUAUUAGCAAUCAUAACGCUCAAAAUCAGGCAAGUCUCUUCAUCCUCACUUUCUUUCUCUUCUUCACACCCCCUCUCUCCACCUUCUCUCCCACAGACAACUACCUCAUUUCUUGUGGCUCCACCAUUGACAACCGUCGUUUUAUCUCUGAUUCCCAUCCAAAUUCGCCACUUCUCUCCUCAACGGAAACGAUUCCGCUCACCAACCAGAACCCGUCUCCCAAUUAUCCCCAAAUCUACAACACUGCAAGAAUUUUCAAAACACCUUCAAAAUAUGCUUUUGAGGUCAAGGAACCGGGGACUCGUAUGAGCCAUUCUUGGUUGGAUCUCGAAUCUAUUCAAAAGUUGAUCCAUGGAGUACAACAUGGAAGGAUCCGACCCGAACCUGAUCAACCAUAGUAAUUAGGUAUGAUAUGUUUGUAUGAACAAGUCAUUAACACUCACAGGUUAUUUCAGAAAUUUGGCGAAGAGUAGCAGACCCCAAUACAAAUUUCUGGUAAAUAACAGCACUAGAAACGAAGAAACAAUCAAGAACAUUUAUGACUGGUGAGGAGAGGAUUUUUCAGCAGAGAAAGGCGUGACAGACCAGUGACCAACACUAACCAGAGGCAAAGCUCACCAUUCUGAUUCUAAAGGCAUCAGCAUACACAAGAGAAUUGGGAUAGCUGUCAACCUAACUACUGGAUGCUGACGAGAGUGCAUGCGUACUCUUUUUAGCUAUCCUCUGGGCAGCUAGAAGAGACAUUUGUGUGAACCUCACGAAAGUAAACCCUUAUUUUAUUGACGGUUUCAACCAAUAAGUCAAAUGUAAUAUUCAAUUCAAUUACAUGUUACUACAUAGCAGAGAAAUAGCUGCUUUUAUGGGGGGAGGGGGUAAACGAAAAGUGCAUCAAGAGAUAUCCAGAGAAAACUCUUGUGGUAUUGAUCUAUAAUUCAAAAAUUGUAAUAAAAAUCCCUGAGCCUACAAAAAGUUUCCAAGUC